GGGAAUGUAGAUCAAGUAGAUCUCUUUCCUUUUCGAAAGUGAUAUAGGUUCAAAUCCCAUCAUUCCCA
rnacentral:tRNA from 1 species